rnacentral:rRNA from 1 species
CCUACGGGUGGCUGCAGUGGGGAAUAUUGGGCAAUGGGCGCAAGCCUGACCCAGCAACGCCGCGUGAAGGAAGAAGGCCCUCGGGUUGUAAACUUCUUUUAACAGGGACGAAGCAAGUGACGGUACUUGUUGAAUAAGCCACGGCUAACUACGUGCCAGCAGCCGCGGUAAUACGUAGGUGGCAAGCGUUAUCAGGAUUUACUGGGUGUAAAGGGCGUGUAGGCGGGAGAGCAAGUCAGACGUGAAAUCCCAGGGCUCAACCCUGGAACUGCGUUUGAAACUGGUCUUCUUGAGUGCUGGAGAGGCAGGCGGAAUGCCUUGUGUAGCGGUGAAAUGCGUAGAUAUAAGGAGGAACACCAGUGGCGAAGGCGGCCUGCUGGACAUUAACUGACGCUGAGGCGCGAAAGCGUGGGGAGCAAACAGGAUUAGAUACCCUAGUAGUC